rnacentral:rRNA from 1 species
GGGUUCUACCGUUGGUCGGGCUAACCAGUCUGUACUAGCGUGUAAAAUUCCUACCUUCUGGAGAACCAUCAUGUUAUUAAUUUAGCGUGGUGGGAAACCAGGACCUUUACCUUGAAAAAUUAGAGUGUUCAAAGCAGGCUUACGUCUGAAUACAUUAGCAUGGAAUAAUAGAAUAGGACGGUGGUCCUGUUUUGUUGGUUUCUGAAUCACCGUAAUGAUUAA